GUUUCUUGCAUAAGCCUAGCUCUAAAAAUUGAGGGAACAAGUUUAGAAGUUCCCAAAGUAGUUUGUAAAGCACUUUGGCUUCUAGGUUGAGUAGCAUCCUUAGGUGGGACUAAUGGUGGAGUCAUCAUUUCCUUAUAGCAUUCAUAUAACCUGUGAAGUGUGUUUUCAACUUUUUUUAACAACAUAUUUGCAAUUUGUACAUCAUAAAUAAGUUCAAACCCAACUUUAAGCAAUUCCAACUUGCAUCUAGGGUCAAGAAUUGUUGCUAUGAAC
rnacentral:lncRNA from 1 species